UACAGAGGCCUCAAGCGUUGUUCGGAUUCAUUGGGCGUAAAGGGUGCGUAGGCGGCGCGGUAAGUCGGGUGUGAAAUCUCGGAGCUUAACUCCGAAACUGCAUUCGAUACUGGCGUGCUUGAGGACUGGAGAGGAGACUGGAAUUUACGGUGUAGCGGUGAAAUGCGUAGAUAUCGUAAGGAAGACCAGUGGCGAAGGCGGGUCUCUGGACAGUUCCUGACGCUGAGGCACGAAGGUCAGGGGAGCAAACGGG
rnacentral:rRNA from 1 species